UGAGCGGCCAGGCCCUAGUCCGGGAAGGAGGCGGGGCUUUUUCUUGAGUGAGCCUGAGGGAUCGCUGCGCAGAGGCCUCGUUACCGUCGGCAGGGGGAAAAGGAGGUAUUUUAUGCUACCCUUAGCUGUAUGUUUAUGACAGUGGUGAUGCAGGGCCUUUGGUGAUGGACCAGAUGAUGGAAUGGUGGCAUGAAGAACAACAGCAGAUGGAGGAACGAGCAAGAUGCCAACCCUCCCCCCCACCCCGGGGUGGGAGGUAAACUCAUGUGAAAGCAUCUCUGUACUCUGGGUCUCCAUUGACCAAGGACAACAACUCUGGCGUUUGGAGGGCCCGGGACCUCAAAUCGUCUAACGACUGAUUUCGGACCGAGGCAAGAGGAACACAGGAUCGGACUGGAUCUGGAACCAGGUAAAUUAGUGACCCUGGAUAUACAGGAUACCGGACAGAUAAGUUCAAUUAGAUGGUAUACGCCCUCCUUGACAACGCUGCUCUCUUGGUCCGUCGCCGCACAAAGGCACUUGACUGCCUCUCAGAUGGACAGCGACAGCUAACAGUCAUGGAAGCCUUUUUACAAGCACCAGGGCGCCAAAGUUCCACAGCGACUCCAGCUGGAACCAGAUUUCACAUGAGAGUCUGUCAGCUUUUUCCACCCUUAGCGCAAAGCGCGCGAAAAUGUCCAAAAGGACAUAACUUAACCACAACAUUGAACAAUUGUCAUAACUAUUAAUACAAACAGUACUAAAACAUCACAGAGCACACAACACACAAGUUUUCCUCCAACACUGCCUGGAAAGUAAUUCAGAUUUCUAUAAAGAAAAGGAGUACCCGUGGCACCUUAGAGACUAACAAAUUUAUUAGAGCAUAAGCUUUCGUGAGCUACAGCUCGCUUAUGCUCUAAUAAAUGUGUUAGUCUCUAAGGUGCCACGGGUACUCCUUUUCUUUUUGCGAAUACAGACUAACACGGCUGCUACUCUGAAACCUGUCAGAUUUCUAUGUGAUGCAUGCUAAUUUUAGCUGAAUUAAAAUAUAAUGAACAAACCAUUUCAAAACAUUCUUGAUGAGUUAAGCAAACAAGCCCUGAGGAAUAGGCAAAGCAAACGUGGCUUGCGUAGGGUGUCACAAGGCAGAGAGACAAGAAACAGUUCCCCAUUCUUUGAUUAGACAUUUUAAAUUGGUUUCACUAUAUACAGAGUACUCUUCUAGUGCCAUCUUAUGGUCUUAAAUAGAGCUGCAGUCUCUGCAGAUGGACAUUCCCCUCUGCCGUCCCCCACGAAAGGUUAAAUUAAACCAAAACAAUCCAGAUCAGCAUUUCACUUUAUUAGAUAUCCUUCCUUGUCAGGUUCCAGUUCUGGCCCACUACAGCUUUUUCUAUUGUAUACCGUAAACAUUGGCCUAGAGCUGCCUAGCUGAUGACUGAAUCUGAGCCAGAGCUAAGGCUGAUGGAAAUUUGCAGGUAUUUUUGGAGAAAUCUGCAGGGUUUCCCUUCCCUCCAACCUACAGAAUUUCUAUGGAGAGUUAUAAAUUUGUUUCCUAUCCUAUCUGACCCAGCUCUUACAUUUUAAUAAGAGGUAAAAGCUUAUCCACAACAGUUUAUUAUUUUAUUAUAAUCUGCCUACAUUGAUGCUAGACUAAAUUUUAUAGAAAAUCUGCAAAAUCUCACAAGAUGGUGCAUGUUUUGAAGGUAAUCACCACAGCUGCAAGGGUGAGAGAUUUAAGGCUUGUCUACACUUUAAGUGCUACAGCAGCACAGCUUCAGGGCUGAGCAGCACAGCUGUAAUGUUUCAGUGUAGACACUACCUCCGACAAUGGGAGGAAUUCUCCUGUCAGUGUAGGUAAUCCACUUCCCCAAGAGGCUGUAGCUAGGUAGAUGAAAGAAUUCUUCUGUUGACUUAUCACUGUCUACCCAAGGAUUAGGGGAGUCAGUUUAACUAUAUCACUCAGGAGUGUGGAUUUUUCACAUCCUGAGUGAUGUAGCUGGGUCAACCUAACACUUAAUUGUAGACCAGGCUAAGGCCAAAAUUUUUAAAUUUGGGUGCUUAAAAUCAGGCUCCAAAAUCCAUAUUUAGGCACUUAAAUAAAAGUAGUCUGAUUUUUCAAAGUUGUUGAGCAUCUCUUAUUCCCAUGUUCUUCGAUGGAAAUUGUGUGUAUUAAAUACUUCUGUAAAUCAGCCCACUUGCAUUUACAUUCCGCACUGGGUCUUGCCUGUCAUUGAUACUUGUUGUGGGCUGGGAGAACAUACUUAAGUAAAACCAAACUGGUUUGAGAAAGGCAAUGUAAGAAGUCAAUCAGUUUAGGUUACCAAUUUUUUUGGGAGGGGGAGAGACGAUUAAAAUGUGUUUCCUGUAAUAAAUCACAGAAAAUCACCCUGGAACAGUCACCUCUUAUGUAAGAAGUGCUAGAAUUUGAGACUUUACAGAUGUCUCUUACCCUUGCAGUUGCAGUGAUUACCUUCAAAACAUGAACCAUAGAUGGGGUGACCAGAUAGCAACUGUGGAAAAAACGGGACAGGGGGGCAAUAGGUGCCUAUAUAAGAAAAAGUCCCUAAAAAUGGGACAUCUGGUCACCCUAGCCAUACAUAAACCACCUGAAACAAUAGCUCUGUAUGAACUGCUCCCAUGCAUUUUACAAACCUUUGAAAGUGUAAACAGGAAUUCAGCCGCAAGCCAGUAAAAGGUCUUUCUACCAUAUAAGGAUUUCAUCUUACUUAACCAAUAUUCUAUAACUAAGUUUUCAGGCCAGCUGAGGGCACUUUUUCUAGGGACCCACUAAAUGUAGCUUUAUUAGCUGGCUUUCAUUUUGUGCUUUCCUUCUGUAUUAGAUGUGAAGAUUGUUAAAUUUAGGAUAACUGUGUUGAGGCACUUUGAAGUGAAAGAAACUGAAUUCUAAUCUCGGAGAAGACUGAGUCAGAAGUGGGGGAACAGAUGAGUAUCUAGUCAAGGGCAUCCGGAACGAGCAAUGUUUAUCCCUGAACAAUGCCAUAAAGGCGAUGACAUGGGUCAGUGUGGGUAUGGAAUGAGCCACAUGACCUUAAGUGGGGUAGACCAUUCCUUGGCUAUAGAAAGUUGGUGUUCAGAAAAGACUGGAGGCUGCAGCAUUUCAUUGAAGCUACUUAGAUAGCUGACAAGUAAAGUAGUAGGCCAGCAUCGUUUGGAUAUAUGAAAAUUAGAAAUGAGCCUGAACGCAAAUCUUGGCUAAGAAUAUCUAUGAACUUAAGCUCUUUGGAUCCAGAGUUUGUGUGUGGUUCAGCCAGUUAUGAAUGAAAUUAGGCUUCUUUCUUCUUAUUGUUAGCCUGGACCCAUAUUCUCUGAGCAAAGGACCACAGUUCUGUGAGGCGUACAUAGUUUUUUAUGAGAACAUUAAUUACCCAUGAAUGUUAACUCCUUUAUGUUAACUCCUACAACCUAUCCUGAAGGACGACCCAUCACUCUCACAGAUCUUGGGAGACAGGCCAGUCCUUGCUUACAGACAGCCCCCCAACCUGAAGCAAAUACUCACCAAUAACCACAC